CCAAAACAAACACGAAGCCAAGGUGUCAGUCGGCGAUGCCGGAGGAGAGGGAGAAGAUGACUGAAUUUUUGGAUGAAAACGCCGUGAAACUCCGUGUCAGGGGCGCUGUUCAGAACCCGGAGAGGCAUGAGAUCCUGUUCAGUUCGGAAAGGAUGGCGAACAGAUUUUUGGAUUGCAAUGGGUCGUCAAUCCCUUAUCUCAACGCUUGUCCCUAAAGUGGCAUUCUGGCCAUCAUCUCGAUGGAUAAUGGCCUUACAAUGAGGAAUUAUCAUCAGACAGCAUGCCGUGAGGGGAGCUACAGAUCACAGCCAAGCACAGACUCCAAUCCAGGAGGGGACAGGGAAAACACCCAAAGGAAGGCUUGGAGAAGAGCAUGGCCUCCCUCCCUGAAGAAGAGGAUUAGGAGGAAAAGGCACUACAAGUCACCUUUCAAGAAGGGGAAGGAAAGAGUGAGAGAAAACCAAAGUGCAUAAAAAAAGACCAUUAUAUAUGUGGUUUCCUUUGUAUUUCAGUCUUCAUUGGCAUUUCCUGAAAGGUCAAGACUUGGGAAAAGUCAGCAAAGUGGUUCAAUAAUUGCAGCGCACCAACCACAGGGCCAGUCACCUGCGCUUUGACCCAAAAGCAGUCAGAUUGAAUAUUAACUUGGUGGAAUUCACCAGUCUUCUAAUUGAGUUUCCCAAAGCAUAAAAAUACUUUGCCAGAAUUUUGUUUGUAUGUGAUUGUGUAUGAUAGAAAAAUUAAAGUAAAUCUUCCUGUGAAAUUAGCUGUUACCUAUUUAAGAUACAGAAGCUUUAGGUGGACCUCCUGAGGAUGUAUGGAUCUCCCAGUUAAGACUUAAUAAAUUCAUUGAACUACAAAAUGCUAAGGGAUGAAGUAAGUGUUUCAUAUUUGAAAGUUGUAUUCUGCAACAGAAAAAGGAAUCAAAGAAAAUCCAGAUAUACAAAAGCUGAGAUUAGAAGGUGCAUUGGUGUUGGAUCUAGUCUGCUAAGUAAGGCCUGUUUUGGAAUAUGUUAAGUUUGCUCAAAAACACAGAUGUACAAGAAACCAUGAUGUUACUGUAGAAGAUAAUGUGAUUAAGUACCUCUAUGAAGUUUGUGAGGCAACACUUCUUUGUUUUAAUGGAAUAGACUAUAUCAUGGAAAAUCAAAACAAGCAGUGGCAGCUUGUCUGAGUGGUCAAUUAAAUGUAAAUAAGUCUGGUAGUUUAAUUUACAAAUAAUUGCUGUAUAUCUGGAUAUGGUUGUAGACUGCUCUUAUCCAUAAAGGUAUUAAUUAUUUUUUUGUAAGAGAUACUAGAUUAAUUUCUAGAAAGAAAGUUUAUAUUGUUGA
rnacentral:lncRNA from 1 species